AAUGAAUUGCCUGAUAAAAAGGGUUACCUUGAUAGGGUAAAUCAUAAAGAGUUCUCUUUAUUCAUUA
rnacentral:tRNA from 1 species